AAGUUCUCCUGUAGUCACCUCCCAUCUCCUAGGAGGAAUGUAGGAUUUCAGAUGGGCUUUUUUUGUUGUUGUUAAAAUAUUUGUUUAUUUAUUUAUUAUAUGUAAGUACACUGUAGCUGUCUUCAGACACUCCAGAAGAGAGCAUCAGAUUCGUUACGGAUGGUUGUGAGCCACCAUGUGGUUGCUGGGAUUUGAACUCAGGACCUUUGGAAGAGCAGUCGAUGCUCUUAACCACUGUGCCAUAUCACCAACCCUGCAGAUGGGCUUUCAAGCCUGUCUUUCACUGAGUUAGAUGCCAGCAUUCUAGAUGUCAGAUCCAUGUGGGGUUGGAAUUACAGAUACCUGAUGUGGACACCUGAUGGGGAUGUUGGGAACCAAAUGCAGGUGCUGUGACAGAGUAAGAAGUGCUGUGUGUCACUGAGCACUCCUCUAGCCGUCCUUACUGUAUAGACAUUUCUUUAUUUUUGGGAGAGGAUUUUGCAGUAUAGCUUUAGCUGGCUUGGAACUCCUAGUCCCCUUGCUUCAGCCUCCUGAAGGCUGGGAUACGAGGCCUUUGCCAAGAUGCCUGCUUUCUAAACCCUUCUGUAGAGUCUUUGAAGCCAGCAUUGCUGUUCUGAUGUCCACUUGUAGCAUCUGAUCAUGCCAGCCGCCUCUAAGCCGUUUGGAAGGCUUUGGGUUGCAGUUAGGUUGUUCCUUAGUUUUCCCAGUGACUGCCUCAGGACUCAUUCCACUGUUCAGCUGCCAUCUGCUUCCCAGCUUACAGAAUUUUCUGGCUCUGCUUUGCAUUUUUAGAUGGUUUGGGCAAGAAGUGACAAUAAGAUGUGUUUGUCCAGUCUGUCAUCUUUUAGCAGAAAUCUGCAAUUAGUUUCUUUUUCUGUUUUGGAGACGGUCUUCUGUAGCCCAGGCUGGUGUUAGACUCCAUCCCUCUGCCUCAGCCCCCUGGGUUAGCAGCACACGGCUAUCUGUGAGACUCAGUGUGUGAUGCAGCUUGGGUUUCAUGUGUGAGUGUGCUGUUGCACACUGGGUGCUCACUGACCUUGCUGUUUAAGUUCCUACAGCCACAGUGUGGUGGGGAUGUGUGGUAAGCGUCAGGAGCUGGAGUUUUUAGUGCGUAUUUGAUUUUUGUCCUUAGGAUAAUUGGCCCCCCCCC
rnacentral:lncRNA from 1 species